UACAGAGGGGGCAAGCGUUAUUCGGAAUUAUUGGGCGUAAAGGGCGUGUAGGCGGCCCGCUAAGUCUGAUGUGAAAGCCCGGGGCUCACCCCCGGAAGUGCAUUGGAAACUGGCGGACUCGAGUCCCGGAGAGGAGAGUGGAAUUCCUGGUGUAGCGGUGAAAUGCGUAGAUAUCAGGAGGAACACCGGUGGCGAAGGCGGCUCUCUGGACGGUGACUGACGCUGAGACGCGAAAGCGUGGGGAGCGAACAGG
rnacentral:rRNA from 1 species